rnacentral:lncRNA from 1 species
UUUUUUUUUUUUUUUUGUCUUUUUAGGGCUGCACUGGUGGCAUAUGGAAGUUCCCAGAUUAGGGGUUGAAUAGGAGCUGCAGCUGCUGGCCUAGGCCACAGCCACAGCAACGUGGGAUUCGAGCCACAUCUGUGACCUACACCUCAGAUUCCCCCACCCACUGAGCAAGGCCAGGGAUCGAAUCUGCAUUCUCAUGUAUACUAGUCAGAUUCGUUUCCGCUGAGCUACAAUGGGAACUCUGAGGAAGUAGAUUUUUAAAACAGAAAUAUCAAUAAAAUAAUUGUUUAAAAUAUGACUCCAAGAAAAGGGAACUUCCCUACACUACUGGUAGGAAUGUAACAUGAUGCAGCCUCUAUGGAAACCAGGAUGGAGGUACCUCAGAAAACUAAAAAUAGAGUUGGCUUAUGAACCAGCAAUCCCACUCCUGGGCAUAUACUCAGACAAAACUUUAAUUCCAAAAGAUACAUGCACCCCUAUGUUCCUACCAGCACUACUGACAAAUAGCCAAGACCUGGAACCAACAUAAAUGUCCACUGACAGAUGAUUGGAUAAAGAAGGUGUGGCAUGUACAUACGAUGGAUAUGAGCCAUAAAAAGAAUGAAGUACUGCCAUGUGCAGCAAUGUGGACAGACCUAGAGAUUAUCAUGCUAAAUGACGUACGUCAGAAAGAGAAGGACAAACAUCCUAGGAUAUCACUUAUAUGUGGAAUCUAAAAUAUAACACAAAUGAGCUUAUCGACAAAACAGAAACAGACUCGCAGAUACAGAGAACAAACAUCUUGUUGCCAAGGAAGGAGUGGGAUAGGGAAUGACUGGGAGUUUGUGAUGAGCAGAUGCAAAGUUUUUUGUUUGUUUGUUUGUUUUUUUGUCUUUUUGCCUUUUCUAGGCCCGCUCCCGAGGCAUAUGGAGGCCCUAAAAGACAAAAAGACCAAAAAGACCAAAAAAAAAAAAAAAAAAGAAUGUAUGUAUAACUGAAUCAUUUUGCUGUACAGCAGAAAUUAAUACAACAUUGUACAUCAACUGUACUUCAAUGAAAUAAAAAAUAAAAUAAAUUACGACUCUUCUCUCAAUUCACAACAUUUCUGUCCACCCACAAUUUUGUAGGAACCUAAGUCAAACUGGACUUUUCCCUUUGUAGGGUGAUGGUGGUCUCACUGAGAAAGCUCUACAUGCAGUCAAGUAGGCUGGGCUCUCUAGUCACAGUUCUAAUUUAUUAGGUGUGUGUUCAGGGAAGAACAUGGACUUGGGAAUCGGAUCCGAGUUCCAAUAUGAGUUCUGCCACUGUCGCUACAAGGAGACCUUGAUCACUUUUGUUGAUGCCUCUGAGCCUGAGGUUCUUAUUUGAAAAAUGAAGGCACGCUAGUAACACCAUUGCUGCAUCUCAUCUUCAUUGGAUUACAGGCAAUUUUUAACGUAUCGUUCCUGUCCUUCAUUUGAUUUGAUCAUCGAAGUGCGGUUAUUGAAUAACUGCUACAUUUUCACCGAACAUUCCUACUUUCAAAGAGCCAGCAAGCUAAGAAACAUAGGCUCGGGAGUCAGAGGACCAAGUAUUAACUUCUAGCUCAGCCACGUCCUAGCUGUGUGACCUUGAGUGAGUGACUUAAACUUCUUAAAGCCUUGACUUUCCCAUUCAAAAAUAGCAAAGAGGAGUUCCCGUCGUGGCGGAGUGGUUAACGAAUCCGACUAGGAACCAUGAGGUUGCGGGUUCGAUCCCUGCCCUUGCUCAGUGGGUUAAGGAUCCGGCAUUGCCGUGAGCUGUGGGGUAGGUUGCAGAUGCGGCUCGGAUCCCGCGUUGCUGUGGCUCUGGCGUAGGCCGGUGGCUACAGCUCCGAUUCAACCCCUAGCCUGGGAACUUCCAUAUGCCGCGGGAGCGGCCCAAGAAAUAGCAACAACAACAAGAACAACAACAACAAAAAACAAAAAUAGCAAGUAAUAAGAAACAGUUUGGCGCUUUCCCAGGAACCUAAAAGUAGAACUAUCAUAUGACCACAUGACACAGCACUUGCUCUUCUGGGCAUAUAUCCAUAAAACCCCCCCAAAACAAAAACACAAAUUCAAAAAGAUACAUGCACCCCUAUGUUCUCAGGAGCACGACUGACAAUAGCCAAGUCAUGGAAGCAACCUAAGAGUCCAUUAACAAAUGAAUGGAUAAAGAAAAUGUGAUACACACACACACACACACACACACACACACACACACACAGGAAUAUUACUCAGCCAUAAAAAAGAAAAAAUCUGCCAUUUGAAACAACACGGAUGGACUUGGAGGGCAUUAUGCUAAGUGAGUAAGUCAGAAGAGAAAGACAAAUCCUAUUUGAUCUCACUUCUAUGUGGAAUCUAAAAAUGUAACAAACUAGUGAAUAAAACCAAACAGAAACAGGCUCACAGACAUAGAGAACACUCUAGGGAGAGAGGGAAGGUGGGGGGGAACAGACGGUUGGAGAGAAAAAGGUUAUCACCGAAUUCUAUGAAAUCAUGCAUGUGAAACUUCUGAAAACUGUAAAGCACUACAGAAUUUAAAGACUCCUUCAUUCAACUAAAAAAUAAAAAACAAUGUGCUAAGCUAAACGUGACUAUCCAGACACAUCCACUAUAAAAUGAGCCUACUGUACACAGAUCAAAGGCUAGUAAUUCUCUUACACUUUUUACCCUUGUCCAUAAAGAUGUCUUUCCCACAAGCGAACAAAACCAAAAACAGCAGUUAAGGGAGUUCCCUCUUGGCACAGGGAGCUAAGGAUCCGGUGUUUUCCUUGCAGCGGCUGGGGUCACUACUGCGGUGUGGGUUCAAUCCCUGGGCCAGGAAUGUCCGCUGCUGUGGGCAUGGCCAAACCCACACAAACAAGCAAGCAAACAAAACAGCAGGUAGUGAUAACAGUACUAACGUCACACACGCUUCGAAGGUUCAACGAAACGUUCCCGGCAGAUCGCUUAGCACAAUGCCGGCACUUAGCACCCCACGUGUGUCAGCUGUGACUACCUGAUUAAUGACAAAUCAAGAUCAUACCUGCUACAGGGGCUUACAAAGGUCCGAUCCUUGCUGCUGUUCAGAAGUAGAGGUGGGGAUUUUAUCCCCAGUCUGUCUGACUUAUGAUAAUGAACAAGAUGCAGGGAGCUCACGUAUCUGGGAGAAACAGACAAGAGACUGGACUUUACAAGACAGGGUGCCCUUGAGCUGACAGGAAAAAUACACAGGGCUCAGGGAGCACCAGUGGGGAGGGACUGGAAAGUGAACAAACGUGGGACUUUUUAGAAGACAGGAAUAUAGGUAACAGAAAUGCUGACAUCACCUCACAUUUGACCGUUUCUGAAAACCAAAAUUUCCAGAGAUGUCCAGCAGCUUAGGACAUUGGAGGAGCAAAAAUUCAGGCUGCAGGCAUAUGAAUGCCCCCAAAAGAAGGACUGAAAUGAGUGGAUCGAGUACAGGCAGAGUUAUGUCAGAGGUUUGAUAAAGAGUCCCCUGCCAAGCUGUUCACACAAGGGGCACAACUUUCUCUUCUACAACUAAGGAAAAGUCUUCAAAUACAACAGCAAAUGGGCCGGAGGCAUUGUGAGGCAUGAAUGACUGAC